rnacentral:rRNA from 1 species
UGGGGAAUAUUGGACAAUGGGCGCAAGCCUGAUCCAGCCAUACCGCGUGGGUGAAGAAGGCCUUCGGGUUGUAAAGCCCUUUUGUUGGGAAAGAAAUCCAGCCGGCUAAUACCUGGUUGGGAUGACGGUACCCAAAGAAUAAGCACCGGCUAACUUCGUGCCAGCAGCCGCGGUAAUACGGAGGGUGCAAGCGUUACUCGGAAUUACUGGGCGUAAAGCGUGCGUAGGUGGUUAUUUAAGUCCGUUGUGAAAGCCCUGGGCUCAACCUGGGAACUGCAGUGGAUACUGGAUGACUAGAAUGUGGUAGAGGGUAGCGGAAUUCCUGGUGUAGCAGUGAAAUGCGUAGAGAUCAGGAGGAACAUCCAUGGCGAAGGCAGCUACCUGGACCAACAUUGACACUGAGGCACGAAAGCGUGGGGAGCAAACA